rnacentral:ncRNA from 1 species
AUUAUCGGCAUAACGAAUGGUUCCUGAGCGGCGAUCUGCCGCAUGGGAUGAAAAGGGAAUGUGAAGGGACGGACCCAAUCCGGGCGUUCUCAUCACAGCCGACCCCGCGACUGUAGAGCGGUCAGGGUCUUUCGUUCGGUUUGAAAGGUAUUCCGUCGAUGGUUCGCAUGGGGCGACCGGGCGGGGUAACCGCAGGCCGGAAAAGCCACUGGCGUGGCAUCAUGAUCAGCCGGGGCUGGACGCCUCUUAUUCUACGAAUCGUCCGCCUCUUCAUGAUGCAUUGCCGGGAAGGCGAGAAAGACCCGCUGGCGCACGAUCGGGGGCGACCGAUUUCGGUCUGCCCCCGUCGCGGCGCCUUAUCCGCGAGCCAGGAGACCUGCCAUACGUGCCGGGCGCAG